GAGGGAUCCAAGUGGGGGGUCAUGCUGACCUCUCCCUCUAUUGAUCUGGGAUGAGGGCAGAGACAGAAGGUGGAACUGACUUUCCCACAGUGAAAGAAGAGGGGAUCCAGCGCACAGAAGCCUCUCUGCUUGUGCGGGUCCUGACCAUCCCUCAGCUCAGCCACGGGAGAGGCCACUGCCCAGGAAGAGAGAGCAGGACACUUCUUGCCAGACUCAACUCUGAAACCAGAGCCUGAAACUGGCCUCCAAGCUGAAUCCUUGUGGCCAGAGCCCUGGGACAGAGAGCCUCAUUGGCUCAGGAGGGGAAGCUGAGCUGGACGGCCUGCCUUGACAAACCAGCCAGAGGCCUCCUUCCACUGUGGAAGAUUGACUUGGGUGUCUCAAGAUGAUGUCGACAUCAGGCGUGAGAACCUGAGUCUGUGUGUCUACUUGUACCCAAGUGUGCUUGAUAUCUAGGUCA
rnacentral:lncRNA from 1 species